CCCGCCCAACCCACUUUAUCUGACUCUCCAUCCUGCUCGUAAUUCGGCGUCCAGCUUGCUGCUGAUCUGCUUCACCCGGCGAAUGCGAGCCUCUGCUGCUUCAGAUUGUUCGCCGCUGCUUUCCUGACUGCUCGAUGCCGACUUGCUGCUAACUUACGUCUUGCCGACUUCUCCGUCUUGCUUGGCUCGGAUCGUCCUGCUACUGCUCAUUCCGCCGCUUCUCGACGAUGCUCGGCGCUGGCCUGACUUAAUCCGACUACUGCUCUCCGGCUUCACCCAAGCCGUCUCUGUCCUCGCUCGCGUCUCUCGCUUCCGUAUGGACUGCAAUGUCAACUGCAGCUGUCACCGC
rnacentral:misc_RNA from 1 species